AACGAACGCUGGCGGCGCGUCUUAAGCAUGCAAGUCGAACGGCAAGAGAGGAGCUUGCUUCUCUCCUAGUGUGGCGGACUGGUGAGGAACACGUGGGUAAUCUACCCUUAAGAUGGGGAUAGCUGCUAGAAAUAGCAGGUAAUACCGAAUACACUCGGCAUAUCACAAGAGGUGUUGAGGAAAGGAAGCUACGGCUUCGCUUGAGGAUGAGCUUGCGUCCCAUUAGCUAGUUGGUGAGGUAAAGGCCCACCAAGGCGACGAUGGGUAUCCGGCCUGAGAGGGUGAACGGACACAUUGGGACUGAGAUACGGCCCAAACUCCUACGGGAGGCAGCAGCUAAGAAUAUUCCGCAAUGGACGGAAGUCUGACGGAGCGACGCCGCGUGGAUGAAGAAGGCUGAAAAGUUGUAAAAUCCUUUUGUUGAUGAAGAAUAAGGGUGAGAGGGAAUGCUCAUCUGAUGACGGUAAUCGACGAAUAAGCCCCGGCUAAUUACGUG
rnacentral:rRNA from 1 species